AACGAACGCUGGCGGCAUGCCUAACACAUGCAAGUCGAACGCGUGUAGCAAUACACGAGUGGCGGACGGGUGAGUAACGCGUGGGAACCUGCCCAGUGGUAGGGAAUAACUGCGGGAAACUGCAGCUAAUACCCUAUACGCCCUUUGGGGGAAAGAUUCAUCGCCAUUGGAGGGGCCCGCGUCGGAUUAGCUAGUUGGCGGGGUAAUGGCCCACCAAGGCAACGAUCCGUAGCUGGUCNGAGAGGAUGAUCAGCCACACUGGGACUGAGAUACGGCCCAGACUCCUACGGGAGGCAGCAGUGGGGAAUAUUGGACAAUGGGGGAAACCCUGAUCCAGCAAUGCCGCGUGAGUGAAGAAGGCCU
rnacentral:rRNA from 1 species